CAAACCAAAGCUGGCGACCGGCGCACGGGUGAGUAACACGUAUCCAACCCGCCUCAUACUCGGGGAUAGCCUUUCGAAAGAAAGAUUAAUAUCCGAUAGCAUAUAUUUCCCGCAUGGGUUUUAUAUUAAAGAAAUUCGGUAUGAGAUGGGGAUGCGUUCCAUUAGUUUGUUGGGGGGGUAACGGCCCACCAAGACUACGAUGGAUAGGGGUUCUGAGAGGAAGGUCCCCCACAUUGGAACUGAGACACGGUCCAA
rnacentral:rRNA from 1 species